AGAGAACUAACAACGAUUCAAAACAAUAAUUAUUCUUGUUGUUUUCAAUAAGCUUUUUCAGUUUGUUGUAAAUCAACAAAUUGUGCUGAAACAGCAAUGACUUUUAUCAAAACAAAUAAAAAUAUUGUUGGAUUUGUUGGCAGCAUUUUCAAUUUGAUUUUUGUUGAAACAACAAAAUAAAAUCUUUAUUUCAAAUCAUAGAGUUAUUUGUUUCAGUUACUAUUAUUGUUAUUUGAAACGAAAAUUUAACUCAGUGUGUAAGGCAGUGUGUGGCCCGCCAUUUUAUUUCGCGCUGUAAACGGAGUGUAAGAAAAAAUGGCUGACGCGGAAGAGUUCAUCGAAGAACUCGAUGUGGAAAAAAAUAUCCGUGAAGGAAGUCGAGCUGAUAGAAUUGCUCAACAGUUUUAGAAUUACUGAAGCUAUUAUUGAAGCCCUUCUUGGUAAGUUUUAACCAUUCUUUUAUAGAAUUUCAAUUCUCAUCAGCCUUUUUUCGUGAUUGCAGUUAAUUCUUACAUGAUUGAAACGCUAAAAGUGAUUCAGCGGCAAGAAAUCGAGCUGCUGAUUCUACCCCCGUCGCUUGCGGAGUGGACCAAAUUCAUUCAUCCAUUGGAUAUUUGGAGAACAGCGCAGGGGCUACCAAAAGUCCAAAAAAUUCCAGCAAGUGGCAGCAGCUCUGCUUCGGUGCAAAAUACCUUCUGAACCAAGGGUCACGUGGGAUUCAUGCACGGCCACCUAUUUGCUGAAAAACUCGUCGGAGGCACAAGCCAUCAUACGAAAAUACAGCCAAACACCGUUUCUCUCAAGAUC